AUGAACGCUAGCUACAGGCUUAACACAUGCAAGUCGAGGGGCAUCAGGAAGAAAGCUUGCUUUCUUUGCUGGCGACCGGCGCACGGGUGAGUAACACGUAUCCAACCUGCCCUUUACUCGGGGAUAGCCUUUCGAAAGAAAGAUUAAUACCCGAUGGCAUAAUGAUUCCGCAUGGUUUCAUUAUUAAAGGAUUCCGGUAAAGGAUGGGGAUGCGUUCCAUUAGGUUGUUGGUGAGGUAACGGCUCACCAAGCCUUCGAUGGAUAGGGGUUCUGAGAGGAAGGUCCCCCACAUUGGAACUGAGACACGGUCCAAACUCCUACGGGAGGCAGCAGUGAGGAAUAUUGGUCAAUGGGCGCUAGCCUGAACCAGCCAAGUAGCGUGAAGGAUGAAGGCUCUAUGGGUCGUAAACUUCUUUUAUAUAAGAAUAAAGUGCAGUAUGUAUACUGUUUUGUAUGUAUUAUAUGAAUAAGGAUCGGCUAACUCCGUGCCAGCAGCCGCGGUAAUACGGAGGAUCCGAGCGUUAUCCGGAUUUAUUGGGUUUAAAGGGAGCGUAGGUGGACUGGUAAGUCAGUUGUGAAAGUUUGCGGCUCAACCGUAAAAUUGCAGUUGAUACUGUCAGUCUUGAGUACAGUAGAGGUGGGCGGAAUUCGUGGUGUAGCGGUGAAAUGCUUAGAUAUCACGAAGAACUCCGAUUGCGAAGGCAGCUCACUGGACUGCAACUGACACUGAUGCUCGAAAGUGUGGGUAUCAAACAGGAUUAGAUACCCUGGUAGUCCACACGGUAAACGAUGAAUACUCGCUGUUUGCGAUAUACAGUAAGCGGCCAAGCGAAAGCAUUAAGUAUUCCACCUGGGGAGUACGCCGGCAACGGUGAAACUCAAAGGAAUUGACGGGGGCCCGCACAAGCGGAGGAACAUGUGGUUUAAUUCGAUGAUACGCGAGGAACCUUACCCGGGCUUAAAUUGCAGUGGAAUGAUGUGGAAACAUGUCAGUGAGCAAUCACCGCUGUGAAGGUGCUGCAUGGUUGUCGUCAGCUCGUGCCGUGAGGUGUCGGCUUAAGUGCCAUAACGAGCGCAACCCUUAUCUUUAGUUACUAACAGGUCAUGCUGAGGACUCUAGAGAGACUGCCGUCGUAAGAUGUGAGGAAGGUGGGGAUGACGUCAAAUCAGCACGGCCCUUACGUCCGGGGCUACACACGUGUUACAAUGGGGGGUACAGAAGGCAGCUAGCGGGUGACCGUAUGCUAAUCCCAAAAUCCUCUCUCAGUUCGGAUCGAAGUCUGCAACCCGACUUCGUGAAGCUGGAUUCGCUAGUAAUCGCGCAUCAGCCACGGCGCGGUGAAUACGUUCCCGGGCCUUGUACACACCGCCCGUCAAGCCAUGGGAGCCGGGGGUACCUGAAGUACGUAACCGCAAGGAUCGUCCUAGGGUAAAACUGGUGACUGGGGCU
rnacentral:rRNA from 1 species